UACGGAGGGUGCAAGCGUUGUCCGGAAUCACUGGGCGUAAAGGGCGCGUAGGCGGCUCAUGAAGGCUGUGGUGAAAGUCCGGGGCUCAACCUCGGAUCGGCCGUGGCGACUCGUGGGCUGGAGCACUGUAAAGGCGGGUGGAAUUCCGGGUGUAGCGGUGGAAUGCGUAGAGAUCCGGAAGAACACCAGUGGCGAAGGCGGCCCGCUGGGCAGUGGCUGACGCUGAGGCGCGACAGCGUGGGGAGCAAACAGG
rnacentral:rRNA from 1 species